rnacentral:misc_RNA from 1 species
AGAAAAGUCAUGCAUGAGGAAAAAAAAAUAAUUACAAAGUAACAGAAAUGCAUGCUUGUAAAACACACAUGUAUUUGUGAACACACAGAGGUGCACGAUAAUCCUGGAUGACACUGAUGACUCCAUGAUAGCAUGUAUAUUCAACACCCUCACCCAUUAAUAGGGAAAAGGGAAUACCAAAUACCAGUCAUUUACACCAGGUGAUCAUAGACUGCUUUAUUCUUAAUUUUGUGAACUGCCAAAUAAACUUUACCAUUAAAAAUUCUAACAGAAAUGAGGUAUAAACUGCAUAAAAUAGGAAGCCACCACAACAGCAAAAGCAAACAGUGAGAAAAAAGGCCGCACCUCUUCUAAUGAUCCCAGUUGC